AAGCCCUCAGCCUUUCUCCUCUGUACCUACCCGCUUCCAAGCCUAGGAGAAGGGGUUCCCUGGCUCUGUCUCCAACCAGACCCGAUACUCAUUGGAUGGGAUUUUUAGGGGUGGGGCCCCACUUGGAGGCGAUAAAAAGGGCUGAAUAGGGAGAACAAGCUUCGAUUUCUCUUUGGAAAGGCUUCCUUUCAUACAGCCAGCUGGGAAAACAACACAGAGCUGAGGAGCCUGCGGUGGGAUGCGCCUGGGAUUCGGACCCCCAGAGCAGCCAGACGGGACCCACGCGUGCUGCCUGCCAACACUGGAGUUUUCUUGGCAUCCAAGCUCACCACUGCCCUCCCUCCCUGUGGGAGCUGCAUCCAUGCUGGCCUUCUCUUGGCUCGCUGUGUUUCUGAUGACCGUUAUCUGUCUGCAGCCUAGCAACCAGGAUACAAACUCACCAAUUCAUAACA